rnacentral:rRNA from 1 species
CCUACGGGAGACAGCAGUGAGGAAUAUUGGUCAAUGGGCGGGAGCCUGAACCAGCCAAGCCGCGUGAGGGAAGACGGUCUUAUGGAUUGUAAACCCUUUCAGCCGGGGAGCAAUUCCCGGCACGUGUGCCCGGAGGGAGAGUACCCGCAGACUAAGCAUCGGCAAACUCCGUGCCAGCAGCCGCGGUAAUACGGAGGAGGCGAGCGUUAUCGGGAUUUAUGGGGGUAACGGGGCGCGUAGGCGGAGUGUUAAGUCAGCGGUAAAAUGUCGGGGCUAAACCCGGGCCGGCCGUUGAAACUGGGGAGCUGGAGUGGGCGAGAGGUAGGCGGAAUGCGUGGUGUAGCGGUGAAAUGCGUAGAUAUGAGGCGGAACACCGGUGGCGAAGGCGGCAUACCGGAGGACGACUGACGCUGAGGCACGAAAGCGUGGGGAGCAAACAGGAUUAGAUACCCGAGUAGUC